rnacentral:lncRNA from 1 species
UUUGACAGUCAGGCUCGGUUUUUCUUAAUAAGAAGAAAAUUAUCUUAACUUUUCAGUUUGGACCAUUUUUUGUCACCGACAACUCUACCGAACUAAAAUCUCUAGCAGAUAGCAGUCGGAUUUUAUUUUUCAUUUUUCGGGUGUCGGAAUGACAUGAAACUUUAAAUCUAGUCUCAUAAAAAUAAUCCCGACAUAUUUUUAGAUUUUCAUAACUUUCUGACACUGAAAAUUUUCUGCUAAACUAUCAGCCCCGUCCUUACAGAAAAUUUUAAAUCUUAUAUUUUUAUUCCGAUUUCAGCACAAGUUGUUUCCGACUUACACUUUACUUCUUUAAGUCUAAUAAAAAUAGUAUCUCUCGCUAUU